AUUGAACGCUGGCGGCAGGCCUAACACAUGCAAGUCGAGCGGCAGCGGGAAAGUAGCUUGCUACUUUUGCCGGCGAGCGGCGGACGGGUGAGUAAUGCCUGGGGAUCUGCCCAGUCGAGGGGGAUAACUACUGGAAACGGUAGCUAAUACCGCAUACGCCCUACGGGGGAAAGCAGGGGACCUUCGGGCCUUGCGCGAUUGGAUGAACCCAGGUGGGAUUAGCUAGUUGGUGAGGUAAUGGCUCACCAAGGCGACGAUCCCUAGCUGGUCUGAGAGGAUGAUCAGCCACACUGGAACUGAGACACGGUCCAGACUCCUACGGGAGGCAGCAGUGGGGAAUAUUGCACAAUGGGGGAAACCCUGAUGCAGCCAUGCCGCGUGUGUGAAGAAGGCCUUCGGGUUGUAAAGCACUUUCAGCGAGGAGGAAAGGUUGGUAGCUAAUAACUGCCAGC
rnacentral:rRNA from 2 species